GACGGGGCUUAUAUGAGCACUUCCUCGGGAUUGGGAUAAUCAGUGCACUUUUUCAGGAAGUGAACCCAGGAUCCUUUGGUGAGUGGCCCAGUGCUUUAACCACUGAGUACACGGACAGAGCAAGCUCAUCUCCUUUUGACAACGUUCCUUCCUGGCCUGGCCUCGGGUCUCUGCCCUUUACGGAUAGCAGCCCAAGACCCAGGUGGCCUGUGAUUGUGCCUUUCAUGACACUCUCCAGUUUGAGUCCCUGGCUCCUAUGCCCAGAUGAUGGGCUCAGAAAUAAGAAAGGAGAAUUGAUUCAAAAGCAAGAUCUUACUGUUGAUAUGGAAUCCCAAGAAAAGUUACCUGGCCCAGCCAACGGGGAGGGUCCUGAAUGUGGAGACACCCGAGAACCAGAAGGAUGGACAGAAAGACAUCAUAGAAAUGCUUUAAGUGAGAGAAGGUGUAAGUGUGAUGGACAUGAGAAAAGAUUCACUCGGAACUCAAGCCUCAUUAGACAAAAGAGAAUUCACACUGGAGAGAGACACUGUUCAUGUAAUGUCUGUGGCAACUUUAAUUCAGAAGUUCACAAUGUAUUGACCAUCAGAGAAUACAUAGCCUGUUUUAUAGGUUAAAACUAUCAGUGUGAGGAGUGCAGAAAGCCUUUAUCACAAUUCACACCUUGUUCAGCAUCCAUGGACCUGCACUGGUGAAAUGCCUCUCCAGAAUGAUGAGUGUGAAAUGCCUCUCCAGAAUGAAAGCUUUUCAUGGCAGCCUCGUCUGGCACCAGAGGACCUGCACAGCGAUCAGGGCACACCAGAACAUCGCCUGGGGGAAAUGCUUCAGCCUGAGCUCAGGCCCUAUGGGUGUGAGGAGGGUGGGAAAACCUUCGGUGACAGCUCACCUCUGGGACCCAGAGGAAUCCACACGGGAGAGGAGCCCUGGUGACCCGUGUGUGGAGCUCCUCCUGCCACUCGUUCCCGAGGACACCAAGAUGCACGCUGGAGAGGGUAUUGCCCUAACGGUGCUGGGCUCUGCACUCCCUGCCACUCAUUCCAGAGUCACGUGAACAGAGCUUCCCAGCAGCAUAGGCUGCUCUGCCCACGGAGCACAUCACCGGCUGAGCUGGGGUGCUGGAUGGGCCCAUUUUGUUGUCAGACUCUCCUCAAAAGUAAGUUGCUCAGGAAAUCUUGGUGUUUUCAUUCCUCUUCCCCUCUCUCCUCCCUAUUUUCUGAACUACUUUGAAAAAAAAACAAAAAAAGCCAACACCUGAAUAUUUGGUUAACUUGAUCAAAUACAUUAACCUAUCAAUCAUCUGCACUAACAACAUGGUGAAACACAAAAACUAUUUUGUGAUACACAUAGUAUGGAUUAUGCUCUGCAGGGCCGGAACGGGUCAAGGCUGGAUGAUCUAUUAACCUGCUGAUCCACAGGGACCUUUCACAUCUUUAACCAGAGGGGGCAGACAAGGCCCACAUAGUUCUUGUUCUUAGUUUUUUUGUAAUAUGAAAUUAUAGCAACUCUUUAAGAGUCGUCAUAUUUCACAUAGAAUCUGACUUUCCAGAUUUUCUUAUAAAAAUAUUGUGUACCGUUUUUGUAUGUUAACAUUUGUAUUCUAUAAAUGCCUACUUAAAUCCUUUGCCGA